rnacentral:tRNA from 1 species
GCCUGCUUAGCCCAGAGGUUAGAGUACCGCACUUGUAAUGCGAUGGUCAUCGGUUCGACUUCGAUAGCUGGCU